GAUGAACGCUGGCGGCGUGCCUAAUACAUGCAAGUCGAGCGAACGGACGAGAAGCUUGCUUCUCUGAUGUUAGCGGCGGACGGGUGAGUAACACGUGGAUAACCUACCUAUAAGACUGGGAUAACUUCGGGAAACCGGAGCUAAUACCGGAUGAUAUUUUGAACCGCAUGGUUCAAAAGUGAAAGACGGUCUUGCUGUCACUUAUAGAUGGAUCCGCGCUGCAUUAGCUAGUUGGUAAGGUAACGGCUUACCAAGGCAACGAUGCAUAGCCGACCUGAGAGGGUGAUCGGCCACACUGGAACGUAGACACGGUCCAGACUCCUACGGGAGGCAGCAGUAGGGAAUCUGCCGCAAUGGGCGAAAGCCUGACGGAGCAACGCCGCGUGAGUGAUGAAGGUCUUCGGAUCGUAAAACUCUGUUAUUAGGGAAGAACAUAUGUGUAAGUAACUGUGCACAGCUUGACGGUACCUAAUCAGAAAGCCACGGCUAACUACGUG
rnacentral:rRNA from 1 species